rnacentral:rRNA from 1 species
UACGUAGGGGGGCGAGCGUUGUCCGGAUUUAUUGGGCGUAAAGAGCUCGUAGGCGGUUCGAUAAGUCGGACGUGAAAUCUCCACGCUCAACGUGGAGGGGCCGUUCGAUACUGUCGUGACUCGAGUCCGGUAGGGGAGUGUGGAAUUCCAGGUGUAGCGGUGAAAUGCGUAGAUAUCUGGAGGAACACCGGUGGCGAAGGCGGCGAUCCUGGACCGACACUGACGCUGAGGAGCGAAAGCCAGGGGAGCAAAGCGGGGAUUAAGCAAACCCCGGGUAGUACCCGGACCAAGUC